rnacentral:rRNA from 1 species
AUGUGGCAACCAAAAUGCCUCAUCCUCGUCGCGGUCUCUCUCUCUGUGCUUGCAUGCACGGCGGCGGGCGACGGCGGCGGCAGGUCACUGGUGACGGCCGUCACCAAGGACGCGACCACCUCCCUCUACACCAUCCCCGUCAAGUCCGGCCGCCCGCUGGUCCUCGACCUCUCCGGCCCCAUCGUCUGGUCCACCUGCGACGACGGCGCCCCCCACGACACGCUCGAGUGCAACAACAUCGACUGCAUGUGCGCGCACCGCUUCCACCCGCCCAGCUGCCCGCACACCGGCUACGGCAUGCCCGACGUCCACAACCCCUACCGCUGCAAGUGCACCCCGCACCCGCACAACUCCGUCUCCGGCGACACCGCCUCGGGGGACAUGACGCGCGGUCUGCCGGUGGGGGCCGUAGGCGUGGCGGGGCUCGCGCGCUCCAGCUUCCAGGCGUUCCCCGCGCAGGUCGCGGGCACUCAGGGCGUGGCUAACUCGUUUGCGCUCUGCCUCUCGAGCAGCCCUGGCAACGGCGUCGCCAUCUUCGGAGGCGGCCCGCUCUUUGUCCUGGGGCAGCCCAUCUCGGAGAUGCUGGGCAGCAACACCCACCUCCGCAAGUACAAGGACUCCCCCGGCUACUACAUCAUGGCCAGCAAGGGCAUCACCAUGGACGGAGCUAUGGAGUGCUGGGGUGCUGCCGCUUUGAGGGUCCCCUUCCCGGCCGCGUCGCCGUUCGAGCUGUGCUACAACAAUUCGAAGCUGCCGCAGAAGCGGUUCGGCUUCUUCGUGCUGAGGAUCAGCCUGAUGCUGGAUGGCGGCACAAGCUGGCCGGUGUUUGGCAUGAACUCUGUGGUGCGGUUGAACCGCGGCACGCCGUGCUUGGCUUUCGUCGAGAUGAAGGCGGGGAACAAGGCCGGGUAUGGCGAUGGUGCGGCGCCGGCGGUGGUGAUCGGAAGUUUUCAGAUGGAGAACAUGCUGCUGGUUAUCGACGAGGAGAAGCAGACGCUCGGAUUCACCACCGGGCAGCACCUCAACAAUGGGCUCUCGUGCGGCCACUUCAAUUUUACGAUGCCAGCCUAG